AACAUCUGUCUUUGGGUACCACGUACUUAAGUUUGAUUGGGUUAAUGAAUAAGAAUUUAGCCAUGAAGACCUUUAGCUGAACUGAUUAACACUAUAAUGUUGCAACGUUUAGAUGUUUAACGUAGUCGUAUAUGAUCACUCCCAUGAGUCCUCCAUUUGGUUUGCAUUUGGAGCUCUGGUGUAUCUUUCUCAUUGGUGAGGUGCAACUGGAGUACCUACUUAGGGCAUCAAAAGGCCGAAAUGUUGAAGUCGGAUAAGGUGGUCAAAGUGUAUUGUUUUCUUAUAAAAUUGUGUCUCUACAUUGUUUUGGGGUUUGCAUACCACUAGAGACUAGGAACAUGUAUACACAUAAACUUGUUUAGCAACUAACUCACAUCAUAAAAGUGGCCUUCUUGGAUGACCUUUUAUGCGUUUAGUUCCCGAUCAAGCCUUUCACGUAAUAAUAGCUUGCAUCAACACUUUUUUGAGAGGAGUCUGAUUGCUAGGAGGAUUUUGUUUUUUUAUAGCAAUACUUGGCAUGUGUAUGUUAAUCCGUGAUGGCAUACUCACCCCUGCUAUCUCAGGUUUGCUGAUAUACCUCUAUCAUAAACCCCCGAAAAAGAAAAAAAGGUUAUAUUUUCAUAGAUUUGGGGGUGCCAUGCAUGUUACAUCUUAUAAAGACCUUUUGUGCUUUUUUCUUCUUUGAAAUUAAGGGGUUUGGGCAAAGGAUGGCAUCAGGUUUCCUUUUCCAAAGUUCAGCAAAUAUCUGGUGGAAGCCCUCUCUGAAGUAGUUCGUAUUGUUCUGUUUUUGCUCUAAAGAUAUGGUACUGCACGAGUGAGCUUUCUGUUCCCCCUCAUCAUGGGUGCAUGGACAUUGACUACUUCCUUAUCGGUAUUGAUAAUAUCAUCUGCCAUUACCCUACAAUUUUCAAGGCAAUAUCACCCCAUUACAUAUUCCAGUUCUCCCCGAGGAAUGGUCGUGAGGGCUGGUUGUUGCUUGAUGGUAUGGUCCUGUGCAUAACAGGUGCUGAAGCUUACUUUCCUGACCUUGGUCAUUUUGACAGGCCAUCCUAUCCAUUCAGGACAGACAGAUUACUUGAUCCAGCACCUGGAUGAUAAUGGUGAUUGGUUUUGUAAGUUGAAACCCAAAACGAUAUAUUGGUUUGUUAUAGCCUCAUCGGCUGCGACCGUUUUCCAGUCAGUCUCUGAUAUCUGCCACCUUCUCUGUUAUCAAGCAGUAUGUUGUAUUUGAUUAUUUUCCUCAGAUCAAGAUUGUGAAUACAUCAUCCAGGGACGAGGGCCAGUUUUACUUCCCAGAAACAAUUUAUACCCUUAUGGUUUUCUGUGAUGCUGUCGUACUAAUUUUAGAGAUGGAAAAGAAAUUGGAAACGCCUUCGUGCUUUGCUACACAAGGAUGAAUUUCAUAAACUACUCAAUGCAAGAAUUCAUGAUUUGUUAGAGAAGAACCUUCAGUUCGUUUCCUGAUUUGGUAGAUAAGCAUUUAUAAGCUAGGUUUGUUUAGUAAAAAGGCUUAGAGAAGCAUUACUUAUGUCGUCGUAUUUCAACGCUCUGAUUUUGCUUCUUUGUAUACUAAUAAAACUAUGCAAUCCCACUUUUUCAUAAAUGGCUUUACUUAACAGUCAAAGAUGGCUUCUUUGUCUGAUUUUCCAUGUCUGAACACUUAUUAUUCGUCGUGACGUUUUUCUCUAUACAUCACAGGAUUCACAAGUUAGUAUACUACAGGAUGCAUAUUAAAGUUUCAGUUUAUUUUAACAGGGCAAAAUAGUUAUAUCGCACCUCCAUAUAUAUUGAUCUGAUAUUUAGUUUAAUGCGUAUGUGACAUCUUUAUUAAUUGAGGUGGCCUAUGACUAAAUUUGCAGACUAAUCUUUUGUGGUGAAGAAAAGAAGUUUAAUCAUCUAAGUAGCCCGCUUCAUAAAGAAAGUGUUAUUUUGACCAAACUUGUAGAUUAUGGGAGAUUUAUGUCGAUUGAGGGUACUGUUGUGUUGAAAUUGUCACUAUAACUAUAUCUCUUAUCAUGCCCGUCUGAUGCGACUAUUUUCAAUUGCAUAAUUGUUUGACUUUUUUACGUAUCCAUGACCUGGAAUAAUAUGAGUAUAUUCAGCUCAUGGUGGCUCUGAAAGUACAUCUCCAGAGAAUUACACUUUCAAGAGGAAACCAUAAAAGAUUGAAACUUAGCAGUAUCUCAAGCUACUUUGGGCAAGGGAGCGGAGGAAACAUAUAAGAAAGUUUAUCGGAUUUGAACUAAAGAUGUAUGCAACAUCAUCCCUAAAUUUAAUGUUUCAUUCUCUGCAUCUCCUGCACCUUGCCACGGUAUGGAGAUCAUCUUUGAAGUAUUCUCUGUUUUUCAAAACAUAUGGACCUUUCUUUGGACGGUGUGGAGCCAUAGAAGUGUACCCAAGCUAAUAAAAUGCAAAGCUUACACAAUGCCAACGACCAAAGUAUUGUGUGUGAACUGAAAUUGUCGUCGCAACACGUGGGUUUCCCUCUAGUUUUCUUUAACCGAUAGGAAAUAUCUAUAUACAAUAUAUAUGUUACGAUUAAUGUAUAGUAUAUAACUAUAUAUUACGAUUAAUCGUUUUCCAGUAUUUUUUUAUAUAGAAAAUGAAACUUUAAAGACAUCUGUGUAUGUUUUGUUACAUGAAUUUGGUUUUGGUA